UACCAUAGUCAUCGACACAUCCUCAGGUU
rnacentral:piRNA from 1 species